AAAAUACCAAUUAUUUGUUUCAAAGCUCACGCUGAAGCAUUGCUACUGGCUCCAUCAAAAUAGUAGUAUCGGUUGUUUUCUGUUUAUGCUUUUGUAGGUAAUCAUUCACAACACAACACAUUUUCUAUAGCUAAUGACAUCUUGGGUUGUUGUCUGAUACUCAGAGCUGCAAAAUCUGAAGGUAGAGUGACUGCAGAUAGUGUGGUUUAUAGUUUUGGAACUCUAUUGCUUGAUCUCUUGAGUGGUAAACAUAUUCCACCAAGCCAUUUUCUUUUAAAGAUGGAGGUGAAAUAAUAUCUAUAGAUUCAAGUGUGAAGCAGGGUGGAAUCAUAUCUAGAUUCAAGUGUGAAGCAAGGAGGCUGUAGUACUCUUUUAUUAUCUCACAACAUGGAUUCAAUAUGUUUCUUUAACAUCACUAAAGUUUUGGCUUAUUACUUUUAGGACAAGUUGUCUAUGUUAGAUUCAACAAACUUCUCAAUGAUUUAUAUGUUUAUAUUUGUAAUGUA